AAUAUAGAACAUUACAGUUUGACUUUCAAAAUUCUACAUAUUUAUGCCAGCAAUUAGAGAGUUAGUUGUCUUAGUCCUUACAGUGCCAGAAGAUUUCCACCAGCAAAGAUUUUUAUUAUUUUCGGUUUUCAAUUAGUAUUAUAAAAUAAAAACUGUAGCUAUCUUGAGAAGAAAAAAAUUAGAAAGAUUGUUAUUACAGUGCUGAACAUCUAACCAGUAAACAGAAUGCCUGUCAAUUGAGACGAGCUCUUUGAUUAUAUUAUCUUUUUUUUUUAAAAAAAUACAUAAUACUAAGUAUCUCUCUAAUCGUCCUUGAGGAAGCAUCAUUGUACUUUGUAAAUGUUCGAUUAAACGUCGUGAUAUCCGUUAUCAUAUUUAUAUAGAAUUUCGAUACUGCAUGUAAUAAAAAACACUUCUGAACCGAUUAAUGCAAAAUUCAGAUUUGCUCAAUAGUUAUUAAGCCU